UGUUCGAAUGGUCAGAAUGGAAGUCAAACAGGGCAUAAGUGCAAGGCAGUCAAGGAAGACUCACUGGGUGAAGAAAUACUAGUGGCCUGAUAGAGGAGUAGAGAAGACAGAAGCUACAAGAAUGUGGUUCUAAAGAAGGAAUGGAUCCAUUUACUAGUCUCAUUCUGCCUCCCAGGCUGGAGUGCAGUGGUAUGUCUCGGCUCACUGUAUCCUCUGCCUCCUGGGUUCAAGUGAUUCUCUAGCCUCACCUCCUGAGUAGCUGGGAUUACAGGAAAGAAGAGGAAGAAAUGUUGGCACUCAACUUGUUUCCCUAAAUGUGAAAGGAGAUGGCCAACAUUCAAGAAUUUGCAGAGGAUACUAUAAUGAAGUGCAGAAUCUUCUCAUAAUUUUUUCUUUCCUCAAAUCCAAAAGAAUUCAGCUUAAACAUAUUUGUCCCCAGUGACUAGAUGACAACUGAUGGGCAUGAUGUUUGCCCUAUGCUUUUCAGACCGGAUUAAAAUGAGUGGUGGAAUGAAUGUAUGUUGUGGUUGAUAGCCUUCUAAAUUUGAUAAAGAAAACUAUAAUUAUAUCCAAUCUUACCUGAUGUUCUAAACAAAAUCUUUAGAGUGUGCAAUGAAGAUAUCUUUGUCCUGUGUAUGACCUGCAAAAUGGCUUAGAAAUUAUAGCUUAACUGGAUGCUUUGAUAUGAUUAAAUAUAUAUUUAGUUGACUACCUAAGAACUUGCAUGACAAAAAUGAAAAUGUAAGCCUGUGUUAUUUUUUUUAGCUUCCCUAAGAAUUACUUA